CUCGGCAUAUCGGACAUCUAGCAGGCUCUUGCAGGGGAAUACAAGAGCUGACCUCCCCUUGCCCUGCUCUGUGCCCCACUCUGCACUCCAGUUCCAUCCAGUGGGAACAACAACCACCACAACAAAAGAUCCAGAUGCUUGAGCCUCCUAUGGUCAAAGAGGAACUUCUGAUUGUCAGCAUUUACAGUGUUCAGUUCCAGACCUUUUCUCUCCUCCAACAACUCCUUGGAAGUGUCCAGCCAUUGUCCUGCGGUCACCUGAACUCCAAGAAAGGCAGAGCCUCGUGUGACAGACUGCUCCAAGCAGAAAUCCUCCUUUCACAGGAAUGGAAUCACCCCUCAAGCAAGGAGGAUUCAAACAAGCCCGAGAUAAUGAUCGACCUGGCCCUGACCCACCUUAGCCAGUCUUUAAAAGCUGGCCUCCUGCAUUUGUGGAUGAGUAAGCCUAAACCACUACAUCAGAGUGUGGCCCUUCCAGCUACUUCAGCUGGAACACUUUCCCUCUUUGUUCUUACUUAUUUUCUGAGGGGACCAGCUUGGUCUUUGUGGGAGUUAUGCUUGCCCAUAUUUUCCCUUACAUUUAACUAAAACCCUUU